UGUAGCAAGGUUAACCGUAUAGGGGAGCCGCAGGGAAACCGAGUCUUAACUGGGCGUUAAGUUGCAGGGUAUAGACCCGAAACCCGGUGAUCUAGCCAUGGGCAGGUUGAAGGUUGGGUAACACUAACUGGAGGACCGAACCGACUAAUGUUGAAAAAUUAGCGGAUGACUUGUGGCUGGGGGUGAAAGGCCAAUCAAACCGGGAGAUAGCUGGUUCUCCCCGAAAGCUAUUUAGGUAGCGCCUCGUGAACUCAUCUUCGGGGGUAGAGCACUGUUUCGGCUAGGGGGUCAUCCCGACUUACCAACCCGAUGCAAACUACGAAUACCGAAGAAUGUUAUCACGGGAGACACACGGCGGGUGCUAACGUCCGUCGUGAAGAGGGAAACAACCCAGACCGCCAGCUAAGGUCCCAAAGUCAUGGUUAAGUGGGAAACGAUGUGGGAAGGCACAGACAGCCAGGAUGUUGGCUUAGAAGCAGCCAUCAUUUAAAGAAAGCGUAAUAGCUCACUGGUCGAGUCGGCCUGCGCGGAAGAUGUAACGGGGCUAAACCAUGCACCGAAGCUGCGGCAGCGACACUAUGUGUUGUUGGGUAGGGGAGCGUUCUGUAAGCCUGCGAAGGUGACCUGUGAGGGUUGCUGGAGGUAUCAGAAGUGCGAAUGCUGACAUAAGUAACGAUAAAGCGGGUGAAAAGCCCGCUCGCCGGAAGACCAAGGGUUCCUGUCCAACGUUAAUCGGGGCAGGGUGAGUCGACCCCUAAGGCGAGGCCGAAAGGCGUAGUCGAUGGGAAACAGGUUAAUAUUCCUGUACUUGGUGUUACUGCGAAGGGGGGACGGAGAAGGCUAUGUUAGCCGGGCGACGGUUGUCCCGGUUUAAGCAUGUAGGCUGGUUGUCCAGGCAAAUCCGGAUAAUCAAGGCUGAGGUGUGAUGACGAGGCACUACGGUGCUGAAGUAACAAAUGCCCUGCUUCCAGGAAAAGCCUCUAAGCAUCAGGUAACAUCAAAUCGUACCCCAAACCGACACAGGUGGUCAGGUAGAGAAUACCAAGGCGCUUGAGAGAACUCGGGUGAAGGAACUAGGCAAAAUGGUGCCGUAACUUCGGGAGAAGGCACGCUGGUGUGUAGGUGAAGUCCCUGCGGAUGGAGCUGAGACCAGUCGAAGAUACCAGCUGGCUGCAACUGUUUAUUAAAAACACAGCACUGUGCAAACACGAAAGUGGACGUAUACGGUGUGACGCCUGCCCGGUGCCGGAAGGUUAAUUGAUGGGGUUAUCCGUAAGGAGAAGCUCUUGAUCGAAGCCCCGGUAAACGGCGGCCGUAACUAUAACGGUCCUAAGGUAGCGAAAUUCCUUGUCGGGUAAGUUCCGACCUGCACGAAUGGCGUAAUGAUGGCCGGGCUGUCUCCACCCGAGCCUCAGUGAAAUUGAACUCGCUGUG
rnacentral:rRNA from 1 species